rnacentral:rRNA from 1 species
AUACGAAGGGGGCUAGCGUUGUUCGGAAUUACUGGGCGUAAAGCGCACGUAGGCGGGUUUGUAAGUAGGGGGUGAAAUCCCAGGGCUCAACCCUGGAACUGCCUUCUAGACUGCAAGCCUGGAGGUCAGGAGAGGCGAGUGGAAUACCGAGUGUAGAGGUGAAAUUCGUAGAUAUUCGGUGGAACACCAGUGGCGAAGGCGACUCGCUGGACUGAUACUGACGCUGAGGUGCGAAAGCGUGGGGAGC